AACCCAGCUUGGAUGUUAGCCAAUCACAUGGCAGCAAAUCAACACAUGUAGUCAUGGAGACAUGAUAAAGACGACUUGCUGAAGUUCAAACUGAGCACCAGAAUGAGGAAAAAGGGGGAUUUAAGUGACUUUGAAUGUGGAAUGGUUGUUGCUGAUGGACACGGUCGCCCAUUUCAGCUCCACAUUCAGAUGCUAGGCUCAG